UACGUAGGGUGCAAGCGUUGUCCGGAAUUAUUGGGCGUAAAGGGUGCGUAGGCGGUUUGGUAAGUCUUAUGUGAAAUCUACAGGCUCAACUUGUAGUCUGCAUGAGAAACUGCCGGGCUUGAGUAUGGGAGAGGUGAGUGGAAUUCCUGGUGUAGCGGUGAAAUGCGUAGAUAUCAGGAGGAACACCUGUGGCGAAAGCGGCUCACUGGACCAUAACUGACGCUGAUGCACGAAAGCUAGGGGAGCAAACGGG
rnacentral:rRNA from 1 species